rnacentral:misc_RNA from 1 species
GAUGAAGAACGUAGUGAAAUGCGAUACGUAAUGUGAAUUGCAGAAUUCAGUGAAUCAUCGAGUCUUUGAACGCACAUUGCGCCCGCCAGUAUUCUGGCGGGCAUGCCUGUUCGAGCGUCAUUACAACCCUCAGGCCCCCGGGCCUGGCGUUGGGGAUCGGCGGAGCCCCCCGUGGGCACACGCCGUCCCCCAAAUACAGUGGCGGUCCCGCCGCAGCUUCCAUCGCGUAGUAGCUAACACCUCGCGACUGGAGAGCGGCGCGGCCACGCCGUAAAACACCCAACUCUUCUGAAGUUGACCUCGAAUCAGGUAGGAAUACCCGCUGAACUUAAGCAUAUCAAUAAGCGGAGGA